UUAAUUCUUCUAAUCACAACCACACAAAGAUAUGGUUUAUCUCAGUUUUUAAAGGUUAUCUCUUUACCUUCGGUAUUAUCAACUCUGAUGUUUUAGUUGACGGCCACAAUGACUUCAACAAGCAAAAAAUCCUUCUCUCAUUCAUCCUUUCAUGCAUAUUUGAGAUUCGACGAACCCACCACAGUUCUGUUCGCAGAAUUUUAAUCCGAGAGGUACUCAACCAAUGUCACUAUCACAAGUUUCUUUUUCUUUCUCGUCUCAGUCAACUCCACCUUGUCCUCCCUGAAAAUCUCCGGUCGUCUUUUCCCCCUCACUUGCCACUGUUCUCCGACAGUAUAUGUUUGAUUACCACUUUAAACUAUAUUUAACCCACACGUCCACCACUACUCUUCUUUUAUUAUCAUCUCUGUCUCAGCCGUGUUGUCUCCACCAGUUCGUUUAAUGCUCCAGUGAAAGAUAAAAAUGAAGAUUUUGGAGAGAGUUGAAUAGAAACCUGUUUGUUAGGACACAUGUAAAAUAAUAACGAAGUAAAAAACAUGGGCAGUUCGUAGAAGAACCUCAUCAGUGUACACAUGGAUAGUUCGUUGAAGAAUUGAAGAAUCGCAUCAGUGUACACAUGGAUAUGAGUGUACACAUAUAUGGAUAUGUCUAGACAGCGUAAAUGUGAACAUGUUAAGAUAGUGUACAACCUGCGUGUAGGUCUGUUGGGAUUGGAAAGUCCCGGUGCUGUAGUUAACUCUUUUCUAAGGUUGUGGCUGUUGGGCUUUAGCUGAAGUUCAAUAUAUUUUUAAGUAAACCAAAAAAGUAAAAACUCUCAUGAAGUAUGUACACCGAUUUUUCUACUAUCCAUAUAUGUACACUGAUUUUUCUGUCUGUAUAUAAAAUUUCACAAUA